rnacentral:rRNA from 1 species
UACGUAGGGGGCGAGCGUUGUCCGGAAUCAUUGGGCGUAAAGAGCGUGUAGGCGGCCUGGAAGGUCUGGUGUGAAAGCCCGGGGCUCAACCCCGGAGGGUCACUGGAAACCAACAGUCUUGAAUCUGGAAGAGGAGAGUGGAAUUCCUGGUGUAGCGGUGGAAUGCGCAGAUAUCAGGAGGAACACCGAUGGCGAAGGCAGCUCUCUGGUACAGGAUUGACGCUGAGACGCGAAAGCGUGGGGAGCGAACAGG